CACGAACUGCGCGAACGUUAUUCGGAAUCACUGGGCUUAAAGAGUGCGUAGGCGGCUUGACAGGUGGGGUGUGAAAUCCCUCGGCUCAACCGAGGAACUGCGCUCCAAACCGUCAAGCUAGAGGGAGACAGAGGUGAGCGGAACUUACGGUGGAGCGGUGAAAUGCGUUGAUAUCGUAAGGAACACCGGUGGCGAAGGCGGCUCACUGGGUCUUUUCUGACGCUGAGGCACGAAAGCUAGGGUAGCGAACGGG
rnacentral:misc_RNA from 1 species